AUUGAACGCUGGCGGCAGGCUUAACACACGCAAGUCGAGCGGAGAUGAGGUGCUUGCACCUUAUCUUAGCGGCGGACGGGUGAGUAAUGCUUAGGAAUCUGCCUAUUAGUGGGGGACAACAUUCCGAAAGGAAUGCUAAUACCGCAUACGCCCUACGGGGGCAAGCCGGGGAUGUUCGGACCUUGCGCUACUAGAAGCGCCUAAGACGGAUUAGCUAGUUGGUGGGGUAAAGGCCUACCAAGGCGACGAUCUGUAGCGGGUCUGAGAGGACGAUCCGCCACACUGGGACUGAGACACGGCCCAGACUCCUACGGGAGGCAGCAGUGGGGAAUAUUGGACAAUGGGCGGAAGCCUGAUCCAGCCAUGCCGCGUGUGUGAAGAAGGCCUUUUGGUUGUAAAGCACUUUAAGCGAGGAGGAGGCUACCUGGAUUAAUACUCUAGGAUAGUGGACGUUACUCGCAGAAUAAGCACCGGCUAACUCUGUGCCAGCCGCCGCGGUAAUAC
rnacentral:rRNA from 1 species